rnacentral:rRNA from 1 species
GACAUAGGGGGCAAGCGUUAUCCGGAAUCACUGGGCGUAAAGCGUGCGUAGGCGGUUAAUUAAGUUAUAUGUGAAAGCCUUGGGCUCAACCCAAGAACUGCAUAUAAUACUGGUUGACUAGAGUAUUGGAGAGGUAAGUGGAAUUCCUAGUGUAGCGGUAAAAUGCGUAGAUAUUAGGAGGAACACCAGAGGCGAAGGCGGCUUACUGGACAAUAACUGACGCUGAGGUACGAAAGUGUGGGGAGCAAAC